CUUACAGCGAUAUUGAAACACCAGUUCUCUUACAAUCACCAAAGUUAAGCAACGCCGAGUUUGAUCAGUACAUUCAUGGGUGACCGUUUGGGAAUAUCAGGUGUUGUAAG